GCGUAGAGGACAGGAGGAGACACCUAGGACUACGGCAGCAGCAAUCACCAGAAGGAUUUUCCAGCCCACGACAGCAGUCUCCAACUCCUGACACCGCCCUCUCCCCCAACGACCCCUUCCCCAGAGCCCCUCGCCCCAGAAGACCCCCGAGGACUCACCCAGACCCCUCCCAGUCCAUUGCCCCAACUCUGCCCUCACUCUUUGCCACUUUACCAAGCCCUGAAGUCUAUCCAGGGAGGGGGAUGGGAGAGGUGUUUAAAGAACGAAUCUCAUUGCAAUCAGAAUUUAUCCGUGUCUCCAGCACACACGCCGACAGUUUUGCAGUCAUGGUAAGGCAAGUCGACAAGAGGUGGAGGGUACUUAUGGUUGUGUUAUUGAGGGAGGGGUUGCUUCUCUUUUUUCUUUUUCUUUUUUUUUUCCAAGAGACUCUAAACAAGUGAAGGGGGGAAGGGGGUAGCGAUAGAGAUUUCAACCAGGACUGCAAAUCAAGAACGCCCCAGAUGCAAAUGUCUGUCUCCAGAUGUUGAUGAUAAGGAUUUGGACCAGUUACCUUGGCAGGGUCAAAACUGCAGCAGGUUAAUCAGCGUCGGUCCGCACUCCCUGUGACCCAGGACGUCAUGAUGCCUGUCUGUUUUCUCAAUGAUAACUUGGCAGAAGAAGAGAGAGGCUGCCAGGUUCUCCUCGGGUGGUUACGUGGUAUGUGCACGUUUCUGUUUGCAUGCGUUUCUCUCGCUCCCUUUUUUAAAAAUAAAUAUCUGUGUUUGAAAAAAAAAAAUUCCCGGCACUGUCAGGAUUUGAUUGCAUUAUUGCGUUUG